rnacentral:rRNA from 1 species
CCUACGGGAGGCAGCAGUGGGGAAUAUUGCACAAUGGGGGAAACCCUGAUCCAGCGACGCCGCGUGAGUGAAGAAGUAACUCGGUAUGUAAAGCUCUAUUAGCAGGGACGCGACAACAGGGUACCUGACUCAGAAGCCUCGGCUAACUACAUACCAGCAGCCGCGGUAAAGCGCAGGGGGCAAGCGUUAUCCGGAAUCACUGGGUGUAAACGGAUCGUAGGCGGCUGUGCAAGCCUGAAGUGAAAGGCGGGGGCCUAAACCCAGGACGGCGGUGGGAACUGUACGGCUGGAGUGCAGGAGAGGUAAGUGGAAUGCCUGGUGUAGCGGUGAAAUGCGUAGAUAUUAGGAAGAACACCAGUGGCGAAGGCGGCUUACUGGACUGUAACUGACGUUGAGGCACGAAAGCGUGGGGAGCAAACAGGAUUAGAUACCCGAGUAGUC